AGUGGCGAACGGGUGAGUAACACGUGGGCAACCUGCCCAAAAGAGGGGGAUAACACUUGGAAACGGGUGCUAAUACCGCAUAACCAUAGUUACCGCAUGGUAACUAUGUAAAAGGUGGCUAUGCUACCGCUUUUGGAUGGGCCCGCGGCGCAUUAGCUAGUUGGUGGGGUAAAGGCUUACCAAGGCAAUGAUGCGUAGCCGAACUGAGAGGUUGAUCGGCCACAUUGGGACUGAGACACGGCCCAAACUCCUACGGAAGGCAGCAG
rnacentral:rRNA from 1 species